rnacentral:sRNA from 19 species
CGCACGGUCUUGGACUCCAAGAUGCUUUGGGGCCGUGUGAGAAAAUAGUGGCUGAUCAAGGGGAUCUCUUCACAGCCACCAGUAAAGCGGAUAGGUGCGACCUAGGCCCGAAGGGCAAGGCGAGAAGGCAACGGCAGGGCAGGCGUUAAAAGCCGAACACGGCGCUUGUAACUGUCUCAAAACCCACCAUCCCUGCACGCUGAAGAGGGCGCGGGGCGCUGCAAACGCAUAACCCGGAAAGUGCAGAACGCGG